rnacentral:rRNA from 1 species
UACGUAGGGGGCAAGCGUUGUCCGGAUUCAUUGGGCGUAAAGCGCGCGUAGGCGGUUCGGUAAGUCGGGUGUGAAAACACGAGGCUCAACCUCGUGCGUGCAUCCGAUACUGCCGGACUAGAGGUAGGUAGGGGAGAUCGGAAUUCCUGGUGUAGCGGUGAAAUGCGCAGAUAUCAGGAGGAACACCGGUGGCGAAGGCGGAUCUCUGGGCCUUACCUGACGCUCAGGCGCGAAAGCUAGGGGAGCGAACAGG